rnacentral:lncRNA from 1 species
CGGCCACAUUCAUUUCUCAAAUCCCAACAUCCUCAUUCCAAUAGGACUCCUUAUCAUACUAGGACUCGACCCAUUCGCUCUUAUCCAGAUCAAUCCUUCUUGCAAUAGGACUCGGUCGACCUGACUAGGCAGCCCAUAGUAUUCUUGGAAAAGCUUUGGACCGAACAUAAACGUUCGUUCGGCCCAAUAAUAUUAUUUUGGGCCCAAACAACUACAAAGAAAUGUAAAAACAUGUUCAUAAAUAGUAUAUAGUCAUUCAUCAUAUAUACUACAAAGAACAUAAGUUCAAUAAAGUAUGGUAUUCCAAAAUAGUCUCAGUAAAGCAUGAUAAUCAUAAUAAGUAAAAUCUAAUUUACUCAUAAAAUGUUUCGUAAAACGUAACCAUUAAAUCAUGUUUUUUAUGUAUGUAUUUCUACUAUUAAAACAUGCAUUUUAUAAGGGGUCCACUCACAGAUACUCCGUCAUCGAAGAGCCGUAUGAAAUAGGAAGGACAAAAUCGCCCCUAAUAAUUGCACCUAAGCACAUAAAGGGUCUAAUUAACAAAACUAUACUCAAACGAUUGAAUUUCAAAAAACGAACGUCAUAAACGGAUUCAGGACGUCGAAAAACAUAGAGGGGGACCUUGGGUACCCCCACGCGCUGCCCUACAUGCCCUCAUGCACUGCCGCAAGGUGGUUGCUCUGGUGGCCAUGCCUCACCGCACGCACCGCCAAGCACUGUUGUGGGUCGUCGAAAAAUUCACCGACGUCACUGUGGACAGUGGCGCAUGUGCUCCAAGAGCCGGCACCGGCAGGCACCCACGCGCAGGCUCGCGCGUGGCUGGGCUUCUGGUUAGGUCGGAUUAAAGAAAAUAUUUGUGAAAACUAGUUCAUUUGAGCAACAUUUAUACAUGCAAUUAACUAUUAAAGGUGGAAUCAUGCUUGUAUGCACUCAAAAACAAAACUUUACCAUAAAAUUCAAGGCCUAGUAAUUGUGGUGAACCAAGACUCAACUCAAGAACAAAGUAAGUUGAGAAAUAUUAUAUCUUUGUUGAAUCCUCUUUGCAUAAGCAAAGGCUAAUCACCCAUGAGAGAUGGUCUUAAUUCCUUACUUCUUAGCUUCAUGGAUUUCUUGGAGGAGGAUGGAUGAAUGGAUUCUCCAAGUUCCUAAGAAAGGGAACCUCUAAGUUUCCACACCAAAGAGGAACUUGAAGAAGAGAUGAGUGACCUUGGAGGAGGAUUCAUACUAGUAAAUCCUCUCGAAGGGGGCCAGCUUCCUAGAGAGAAAAUGAGAGCUUUUGUUCCCUCCAAUUUCCUCAAGAGAGAACCCUAAUGAAUUUUAGCUAUAAAGUCCUUUAUAUAGUCACUUCACUUAAGUGACAAAAAGAACCAAAACCCUUUCAUUUAUAUUAUGGCCGGCCUUCUAAAGGCUUUGGGCUGUUUGGGCCCUUUUGAGUCUUUAGUCAUUAAGUUGUCAUACAACUUAAGUUAAUGGGCUUGAUGGUUCUAAGCCCAAUGGGCCUUGAGGUCCAAUAAUUACUCAAAAGCUAAAACGAACUUAUUCAUUUGAUUAAUUAACAUAUUAAUUAAUCCUAGCCAUAAAUAAUUAAACCAUUUAAUUAUCCUUACUUAUUUCCGUUGUUUCUUCAAUCUCUACCUUACACGGUGUAUGAUCCAUUAGGUUCAUUUUAGCGAGGCAGUGAGCGAUUAGAACUCCUUAAAUCGAUUGUGAAUUGAAACAAACUUUCAAUUCUCCCUUUAGUGAUGAUACACCUUUAGGGCUUUCACAAACCAUGAGUGACACCUAGUAGUAUGUCAUGGCAUAGAGUAUUUCGGGCCAGAGAUUCGUAAUCAUAUCAUAGAGUAUUCUCCCUCAAACAGUUUGAAGGUUUGAGAUUCUUUGUUGUGCAUUCACUUGCCUUCAUGGCUAAGUGGCUUAACCCCAACUACGUUGUGGACACCAUUUGAUGAGUGACUUUGAUAUAGUCAAAGAUCAAUGACCUAACCACAAGACAACUAUGAUGCCUUAGGUCAAAAGACUACUUUGCAUUAUCCCAACCAUGAGUUCUCAUGUGACGUGAGUAUGAGAACUCCUCAUUGAUCGCGUUCAGUGAAUUCAUUCUUUAUUAAGCACCUACAUGCUUGUCUUGGUGUUAGUCACACCAAUGACUGGAGGCCAGUCACUCUCUCUAAGAGAAGUCAUCGCACGUACUGAUAGACUGUCAAUGCCCAAUUGGCAAUCCUAUGAUCAGGAACGUUUAUGGUAUGUAUACGAAAGAGAAUGAUCUCAUGAAUCUAACGUCUUUAGAUUACAUUAUCCCAAUUACAUAUUUCUUAGACUUAUUGUUUAAACAUAUAACAUUUAUACGAGACAGCUUUAAACAAUAAUCCUUGCCCUUUAUAUUAAACUAGAUUAGUUUAACAUGUGAAAUAUUCAUAAAGUAUCAUUAUAUGAUUGGCUUUAGGGCACAUUUCCAACACGGAUUUGGGCUUUAGCCUAAAGGGUUUCUAGGCUUAAGCCACUGGACCGGAUUCUAAGGCCCAAAGGCCUUGGUUUAAUGGGAGAAAGGCCCAUGUCGCCUCGGCCCAAAGGCCUAGGUUCUAAAAGGUUUGGGCUUUAAGGUUUAGCAUGCCAAAGGCCUGAGCUGGUAUGGCCCCAAAAGCCUGGUCAUUUUGGGUUUGGGCUUGAAGGCCCGUUUCUCACCAGAGAAGAAGGCCGAAGCCUUCUAAGGUCCUGUCGCCGCCGAAACUCAAACCUAGGCUACGAUCUAGGUACGAAAUUGAAGGUAAAGGUGAGGGGAAGAGAUCCAUACCUUUAGGGUCCUUUCUCGUGGCCGGAAUCCUCCUCGAACCCAUGGGGGUUCGCCGAGUCUGGGUUCUCGAUUUCACCGAGCUUCAUAGAGACAAGGGAGAGGGAAAGAAGGCCCACGAUGGUGGUGGUGGUGGUGGUGCUGAGUCGUCGUCACUGUUAGGGUGUUUAGUUGAGUGUGUGGAUGUGGAUCGCUGAGAAAGGAAUGAGAGUGAGAGAGGGAGAGUUCUGUGAGAAUGAGAGAGAGUGUGAGCUGAGAGAGGGAGAAGGUUGACUUGGGGGAAGGAGAGAAAGAUAUAUAUAAGGGAUUAGGGGUUGCCACGUGGCAAGUAGAAAAAGGAGGAAAAAUGUUAGGAAAUCCCAAAAGGGAUCAGGAUAGGGUAAAAGUUCAAGGGUAGAAAUGUAAUUUUUUAGUCUUUGAUAUAAAAUUACACAAAAAUUUGGGGAGGGGUUUUACACUCAGGGGGGUGCCACCUCCUCGAUUGGGAUGUCAA